UUGACCUCAAAUCAGGUAGGACUACCCGCUGAACUUAAGCAUAUCAAUAAGCGGAGGAAAAGAAACUAACAAGGAUUCCCCUAGUAACUGCGAGUGAAGCGGGAAAAGCUCAAAUUUGAAAUCUGGCAGUCUUUUUUUCUUCUUUGGCUGUCC
rnacentral:rRNA from 1 species